UACGUAGGGAGCAAGCGUUGUCCGGAAUCAUUGGGCGUAAAGCGCGCGUAGGCGGCCCCGUAAGUCCGCUGUGAAAGUCAAAGGCUCAACCUUUGAAAGCCGGUGGAUACUGUGGGGCUAGAGUCCGGAAGAGGCGAGUGGAAUUCCUGGUGUAGCGGUGGAAUGCGCAGAUAUCAGGAGGAACACCAAUGGCGAAGGCAGCUCGCUGGGACGGUACUGACGCUAAGGCGCGAAAGCGUGGGGAGCGAACAGG
rnacentral:rRNA from 1 species